rnacentral:rRNA from 1 species
UACGUAGGGUCCGAGCGUUGUCCGGAAUUAUUGGGCGUAAAGGGCUCGUAGGCGGUUUGUUGCGUCGGGAGUGAAAACUUACAGCUUAACUGUGAGCGUGCUUCCGAUACGGGCAGACUUGAGGUAUUCAGGGGAGAACGGAAUUCCUGGUGUAGCGGUGAAAUGCGCAGAUAUCAGGAGGAACACCGGUGGCGAAGGCGGCCUUCUGGACGAUGACUGACGCUGAGACACGAAAGCGUGGGGAGCAAACAGG